AUUGAACGCUGGCGGCAUGCCUAACACAUGCAAGUCGAGCGGAUGAAGGGAACUCGCGCCUGUAUGCAGCUGCGGACGGGCGAGUAAGUCACACGAAUCUGCCUUGCCUUUGGGGCUAACGUCCGGACACGGGCGCUGAGAUCGCAUAGGUCCAGAUUUUGAACGGGAGGGAUCUUCGGACAUCACGCUACUAGAUGAGCCUAGGUCGUAUUAGCUAGUUGGUGUGGUAAGGGCGUACCAAGGCGACGAACCGUAGCUGGGCUGAGAGGAUGAUCAGCCACACUGGAACUGAGACACGGUCCAGACUCCUACGGGAGGCAGCAGUGGGGAAUAUUCGACAAUGGGCGAAAGCCUGAUCCAGCCAUGCCGCGUGUGUGAAGAAGGUCUUCGGAUCGUAAAGCACUUUAAGUUGGGAGGAAGAGCAGUAAGUUAAUCCCUUGCUAUCUUGACGUUACCAACAGAAUAAGCACCGGCUAACUUCGUG
rnacentral:rRNA from 1 species